rnacentral:rRNA from 1 species
UCGAGAAUCUUCCGCAAUGGGCGAAAGCCUGACGGAGCGACGCCGCGUGGUGGAUGAAGCGCUUAGGCGCGUAAACACCUUUUAUGGAGGAGAAAGUUUAUUGAUGUUACUCCAUGAAUAAGGGGCUCCCAACUCUGUGCCAGCAGGAGCGGUAAUACAGAGGCCCCAAGCAUUAUCCGGAUUCACUGGGCGUAAAGGGUGCGUAGGCGGUGUGAUUAGUCGGGUGUUAAAUCCUGGGGCUCAACCUCAG